rnacentral:rRNA from 1 species
GACGAACGCUGGCGGCGUGCUUAACACAUGCAAGUCGAACGCACCUUCGGGUGAGUGGCGGACGGGUGAGUAACGCGUAGGUAAUCUACUCUUCAGUGGGGGAUACCCAGCCGAAAGGUUGGUUAAUACCGCAUACGCUCCUGUGCAGAGAGGUACAGGAGGAAAGGUUUACUGCUGAGGAAUGAGCCUGCGUCCGAUUAGCUAGUUGGUGGGGUAAAGGCUCACCAAGGCGACGAUCGGUAGCUGGUCUGAGAGGACGAUCAACCACACUGGAACUGAGACACGGUCCAGACUCCUACGGGAGGCAGCAGUGGGGAAUUUUCCGCAAUGGGCGAAAGCCUGGACGGAGCAACGCCGCGUGGGUGAUGAAGUUUUUCGGAACGUAAACCCUUUCGCCAGGGACGAAGCGAGUGACGGUACCUGGAGAAGAAGCAUCGGCUAACUACGUGCCAGCAGCCGC